rnacentral:misc_RNA from 1 species
GAGUCAGACUUUAAAUAUCUACCAAAAGGACUAAAAUUUUUUCAGGUUGAAGGACAGAGUGGAGAUAUAGAAAUGAAAAGCUUCAUGGAUUCUAGUCCAAUAUACACUAGAAAUAAAAACCACACAAAAGCUAUUUCAACUCUUUCACCAAACCAUAGUUACUAGAUUUGCCUUCUCCCCCUAGGUUCCACAAUCUAGAUCAUGCGUUCCAAAUCACAAGACAAACCUUUAUCACCAAAUGUUCAAAUAAUAAACUGAAU